GGAAGGAUCAUUAACACGUGAAAACGUAUUAAUUUACCUUUUAACAACCUGUGAAUUUCACAUACCUAUUCAACUGUCGCUGUACCAUACAUUCUGUAGUAGGAUAUGACUUCGGUCAUAUGCAAAUGUAUGACUACUGAGGUUUAAUCCUAAGGUGGCUUUUGUUAGGCUUUUUAUUACCCCUACUACUAAGCCCAAAACCAAACCUAUUUCACUAACUAAACCAAUUUUGACUGAUGUACGUUGAUAGUACAGAAAUGUACUGGAUCAACACCAUUUAUCUAAACUAAGCACAACUCUUAGCAAUGGAUAUCUUGGUUCUCGCAACGAUGAAGAACGCAGCGAAAUGCGAUAUGUAAUGCGAAUUGCAGAAUUCAGUGAAUCAUCAAAUUUUUGAACGCAAAUGGCGCUUUCGGGAUAGACCUGGGAGCACGCCUCUCUGAGUAUCGGUUCAACCAUCACUCGUCUGCGUACUGUCAAAGGUACAAAGAACGGAAAAUGAGAGUCUAAGCUGAACAGCUUUGUCUCUUGAAAUUGAUUGAGCUUCAACCUCCUAGUACUGUAUCUUGCAAAAGAUACUAGCCUAUGUGGCUUUUAUUCAACUAGUGACGUGGAUAACAUCACGUAGUGAUACGAAACGUCAAUGCUAUUGGAAUAAUACAACCAGUUACAUAAGUGAAACGAUUAGGAACGUUGAUAGCGUUUGAAUUGAUCAACUUAGCAAUGGUAAAGAUUUCGGUCUUUAUGAUUGUUAUGUUUCUAACAUUAGAUCUCAGAUGAAGCGAGAAGACCCCCUGAAUUUAAGCAUAUUAAUAAGGGGAGGAAAAGAAACUAACAAGGAUUCCCCUAGUAACGGCGAGUGAAGCGGGAUGAGCUCAAUAUGAAAAUCGUGAACCCAGGCGGGUUUUCGAAUUGUAGCCUAGAGACGUGUGAUCAGCGAUAGCCCAGGUAUAAGUCCUUUGGAAGAAGGCAUCAGCGAGGGUGAGAAUCCCGUGUUUGACCUGGAGUCUGUCGCGUACGAUGCAUGUUCAUAGAGUCGAGUUGUUUGGGAUUGCAGCUCUAAAUGGGUGGUAAGUUUCAUCUAAAGCUAAAUAUUGGCGAGAGACCGAUAGCGAACAAGUACCGUGAGGGAAAGAUGAAAAGAACUUUGAAAAGAGAGUUAAAUCAGUACUUGAAAUUGCUAAGAGGGAACGGCUGAACACCAGUGCUGCUGGUUGUCAUUUUUGCUAUGAAUGGAAGAACGUCAUGUUUCGAGUUGGUAACUCUCGUUGUAUGAUGCAGAAGUUUGUUUGUAGUACUGUGAUAAUUGGCGUGUCAGAAUCGGUUCGACGUGUGGGAGAAGGCAUGUAGGAAGGUAGGGUGUUUCGGCACCUGUUAUAGCCUAUGUGUUCUACCAUGUAUUGGACCGAGGAAUCAUGUUGCGCCUGCUGGCUUGGAACGAUGCUCCGUGUGUGUAUAUUGUGCGUGGAUAGCAAUGCUAUGCUGUGUGGUAUAUGUGCACUUGAGUGUCUGCUUUCAUAUGCAACAUCGAGAUUCUGACGAAAUGGUUUUCAUCCACCCGUCUUGAAACACGGACCAAGGAGUCUAACAUAUAUGCGAGUAUUUGGGUGGUAAACCCUGGUGCGUAAUGAAAGUAAAGGUAGCUUCGGCUGCUGAGGUAGGAAUCUGGAACAGAGGCACUAUCGACCGAUCAUCACUUGUGAAAGAUUUGAGUAAGAGCAUAUCUGUUGGGACCCGAAAGAUGGUGAUCUAUGCCUGAACAGGGUGAAGCCAGGGGAAACUCUGGUGGAAGCUCGUAGCGAUACUGACGUGCAAAUCGUUCGUCUGAUUUGGGUAUAGGGGCGAAAGACUAAUCGAACCAUCUAGUAGCUGGUUCCCUC
rnacentral:misc_RNA from 1 species